rnacentral:rRNA from 1 species
ACGCUGGCGGCGUGCCUAAUACAUGCAAGUAGAACGCUGAAGGAGGAGCUUGCUUCUCUGGAUGAGUUGCGAACGGGUGAGUAACGCGUAGGUAACCUGCCUGGUAGCGGGGGAUAACUAUUGGAAACGAUAGCUAAUACCGCAUAAUAGUAGAUGUUGCAUGACAUUUGCUUAAAAGAUGCAAUUGCAUCACUACCAGAUGGACCUGCGUUGUAUUAGCUAGUUGGUGGGGUAACGGCUCACCAAGGCGACGAUACAUAGCCGACCUGAGAGGGUGAUCGGCCACACUGGGACUGAGACACGGCCCAGACUCCUACGGGAGGCAGCAGUAGGGAAUCUUCGGCAAUGGACGAAAGUCUGACCGAGCAACGCCGCGUGAGUGAAGAAGGUUUUCGGAUCGUAAAGCUCUGUUGUAAGAGAAGAACGAGUGUGAGAGUGGAAAGUUCACACUGUGACGGUAUCUUACCAGAAAGGGACGGCUAACUACGUGCCAGCAGCCGCGGUAAUACGUAGGUCCCGAGCGUUGUCCGGAUUUAUUGGGCGUAAAGCGAGCGCAGGCGGUUAGAUAAGUCUGAAGUUAAAGGCUGUGGCUUAACCAUAGUACGCUUUGGAAACUGUUUAACUUGAGUGCAAGAGGGGAGAGUGGAAUUCCAUGUGUAGCGGUGAAAUGCGUAGAUAUAUGGAGGAACACCGGUGGCGAAAGCGGCUCUCUGGCUUGUAACUGACGCUGAGGCUCGAAAGCGUGGGGAGCAAACAGGAUUAGAUACCCCUGGUAGUCCACGCCGUAAACGAUGAGUGCUAGGUGUUAGACCCUUUCCGGGGUUUAGUGCCGCAGCUAACGCAUUAAGCACUCCGCCUGGGGAGUACGACCGCAAGGUUGAAACUCAAAGGAAUUGACG